rnacentral:misc_RNA from 1 species
AGUUGCCGCACGGUCACACUCGAAAAUUGUUUGCCCGCGCGAGGUGCUGCGUUUCAUUUCGGCUCGCAUCGGAAACACAAAAAAAUCUCUUAGCCGCCGGGAAAAUCGCGAAACAAUAUUGGGUUUUUUGUGAAAAAAUCAAGAAAAAUAUUGUCAACACAUUUUCCUAAGAUAACAACAAACAAAUGUGCGUGUGAAACAAUUGGCGACAACAACAAAUCGUGCACCCCAGACAGCCAGUGUGCGAGAGCGAGAGACCGUGAGAGGUGGUCGUGCGUCCCUCUCCAACACACACACUGAAUCGGCGCCGACGACGCGUACGCAACAAACGAAAAUAAAACGCAAGCGAAAAGGAGAGAGAAAGAACAAAUAACGCCCACCGUAACACCCCCCGCGAAUAAGAAGAAGAAGAAGCAGCAGAGAAGCUAAAGCAGAGAAAGACGAAGAAGCAGCAGCAAAAGCAGACGGCAGAAUUGGAGCUUUGCGCAGAAAUCGAUUUUUUUGCCCAUUUUAAGAGAUUUUCGGUAGCCUCUCCCACUGCCGAAAAUCGUUUAUCGCUGCGUCCGUGUCUGUGUGUGUGUUCGUGCGUGUGCCUGUGCGAAAGUGAAACAAACAAAUACAACAGGCAAAAGAUUAAAAUUAUAUAGUACCAGUGUGAGUCACAAAUAAAAAGAAGAAAAAAAAACAUAAAAAAGAAAAAAUUAAUUCAGCAGCAGCUUUAGCUUUUUAGCUGCUGGCAUUGAAGAGGUGCUCUGCCGCAGUCAACGUCGCUGCCGCCGCCCGCAACACGCGCUCUCUUUGCCUCUCUCUCCGUUUCUCUUGUGAGCGAAAUAACACCACACACACGUAAAAAAAAGCAUAAUAAUAUUAACCAAAACGCCAGCCAAAGUGCCAGUUAAGUUAUAAUUAUACACUACAAGUAAACCGAGAAAAGAGAGAGCUGCCAGCCAAAAGCGGAAAAUCAAUAAAAGGUCUCUCGCAAAAGUGGAAAAACGUGCAAACAAGUUAAAAGCAAGGCUGCAAAAAAGAAAAAGGAAAAACUCCGCGCGCGUUUACACGUGUGGUUUAUGUGUGUGCGUGUUUAACGUUUAACUGCUAAUCGCAAAAACGCAAUCUGCGAAGACCGCGUAACAAAGGCUUACGUAAAGCUUGGCAAAGAGGAAAAAAACCAAAUAACAACAACGAAGCAUAAAAAACAAUAUAUCCAAAAUCCAACAAAUUGAGAAACUCAACAGAAAACAAGGAUAGUCCCAGAAACUAGAAUCAAAUUCGCGCAACAAAUAAUACACCGAGAAUAACCUUCUCGCGCACCCUUCAAAAAGCAGGAUAACACCCCGACACAAAGAUGACUAAAGACAGAUUAGCCGCUCUCCAUGCCGCCCAAUCCGAUGACGAGGAGGAGACGGAGGUGGCCGUCAAUGUGGAUGGCCAUGAUUCCUACAUGGACGACUUCUUUGCCCAGGUGGAGGAGAUACGCGGCAUGAUCGACAAGGUGCAGGACAAUGUCGAGGAGGUGAAGAAGAAGCACUCGGCCAUCCUGUCCGCCCCGCAAACGGACGAGAAGACCAAGCAAGAGCUGGAGGAUCUGAUGGCCGACAUCAAGAAGAAUGCCAAUCGCGUGCGGGGCAAGCUCAAGGGCAUCGAGCAGAAUAUCGAGCAGGAGGAGCAGCAGAACAAGUCGUCGGCGGAUCUGAGAAUCCGGAAGACGCAGCACUCGACGUUGUCACGGAAAUUCGUCGAGGUGAUGACCGAAUACAAUCGCACGCAGACCGAUUACCGGGAGCGCUGCAAGGGAAGGAUACAGCGUCAGCUGGAGAUCACCGGACGACCGACCAACGACGAUGAGCUGGAGAAGAUGCUGGAGGAGGGCAACUCGUCUGUGUUCACGCAGGGCAUCAUCAUGGAGACGCAGCAGGCCAAACAGACGCUGGCGGACAUUGAGGCUCGCCACCAGGACAUCAUGAAGCUGGAGACAUCGAUCAAGGAGCUGCACGACAUGUUCAUGGACAUGGCCAUGCUGGUGGAGUCGCAGGGCGAGAUGAUCGAUCGCAUUGAGUACCAUGUGGAGCACGCUAUGGACUAUGUGCAGACGGCAACUCAGGACACCAAGAAGGCGCUCAAGUACCAGAGUAAAGCCCGACGAAAGAAGAUCAUGAUACUGAUCUGCCUCACUGUGCUGGGCAUCUUAGCGGCCUCAUAUGUUAGCAGUUAUUUCAUAUAAAUAGCUAACUCGGACAUUCUCAAUGGAGAUGAUAAUGCGAAACGAAAACAUGGCAAGUUGAGGAAGUUAAUGGAAUGCCGACUUUAAAGGGAAUCCAAGCAUCCAAGUAGCAUGCUCCUCAUCAAGGCCUAUAAUCUGCAUUAUCUACACACGUUUUGUAGUACAAUUCAGG